AUUGAACGCUGGCGGCAGGCUUAACACAUGCAAGUCGAGCGGAGAGAGGUAGCUUGCUACUGAUCUUAGCGGCGGACGGGUGAGUAAUGCUUAGGAAUCUGCCUAUUAGUGGGGGACAACAUUUCGAAAGGAAUGCUAAUACCGCAUACGUCCUACGGGAGAAAGCAGGGGAUCUUCGGACCUUGCGCUAAUAGAUGAGCCUAAGUCGGAUUAGCUAGUUGGUGGGGUAAAGGCCUACCAAGGCGACGAUCUGUAGCGGGUCUGAGAGGAUGAUCCGGCACACGGGGACUGAGACACGGCCCAGACUCCUACGGGAGGCAGCAGUGGGGAAUAUUGGACAAUGGGCGGAAGCCUGAUCCAGCCAUGCCGCGUGUGUGAAGAAGGCCUUAUGGUUGUAAAGCACUUUAAGCGAGGAGGAGGCUACUUUAGUUAAUACCUAGAGAUAGUGGACGUUACUCGCAGAAUAAGCACCGGCUAACUCUGUGCCAGCCGCCGCGGUAA
rnacentral:rRNA from 1 species